rnacentral:tRNA from 1 species
GAGAAAUUAGUUAAAUCUAUAACAUUAGAAUGUCAAACUAAAAUUAUUAAAUAUUAAUAUUUCUCU